UACGUAGGGUGCGAGCGUUGUCCGGAAUUAUUGGGCGUAAAGGGCUCGUAGGCGGUCUGUCACGUCGGGAGUGAAAACCCAGGGCUCAACCCUGGGCCUGCUUCCGAUACGGGCAGACUAGAGGUAUGCAGGGGAGAAUGGAAUUCCUGGUGUAGCGGUGAAAUGCGCAGAUAUCAGGAGGAACAUCGGUGGCGAAGGCGGUUCUCUGGGCAUUACCUGACGCUGAGGAGCGAAAGUGUGGGGAGCGAACAGG
rnacentral:rRNA from 1 species